rnacentral:rRNA from 1 species
AACGAACGCUGGCGGCAGGCUUAACACAUGCAAGUCGAGCGCCCUGCAAGGGGAGCGGCAGACGGGUGAGUAACGCGUGGGAAUCUACCCAUCACUACGGAACAACUCCGGGAAACUGGAGCUAAUACCGUAUACGUCCUUCGGGAGAAAGAUUUAUCGGUGAUGGAUGAGCCCGCGUUGGAUUAGCUAGUUGGUGGGGUAAUGGCCUACCAAGGCGACGAUCCAUAGCUGGUUUGAGAGGAUGAUCAGCCACACUGGGACUGAGACACGGCCCAGACUCCUACGGGAGGCAGCAGUGGGGAAUAUUGGACAAUGGGCGAAAGACUGAUCCAGCCAUGCCGCGUGAGUGAUGACGGCCCUAGGGUUGUAAAGCUCUUUCGCAGGUGAAGAUAAUGACGGUAACCUGAGAAGAAGCCCCAGCUAACUUCGUGCCAGCAGCCGCCGUAAGAC